AUCCUCGAAAGGGGUACGUAGGCAGCCUUUAACAAGGUUCAGUCCGAAAUCAAUCAAAAACCUUUUCUUUAUCUAUUUCGUUUUUCGUUAUCGAGCUGCGACUCAACUAGGUUUGAGCUUUUAGGCCGCUAGAACUAAGUAACUUGCUGACAGCCUUUGCGGCCAAAGCUUUCAUGAUCUCUUGUAAUGAUCGCAACGCUCUUACGCGGACUGGAAAUAAGAUCAACUGUUUUCCCUAAACUUGUUUGUUGUCUUUUCAUAAUUUCCGCAUAUAUUUGGUCACUUGUCGUUGGCUCCCGCAGAGAUCCGGGACCUCUGGGAAAUUAGGGUUUUCCUAGUUUUCUAAUUUAAACGGAAAUCGACAGUGCGAAUUUCGGUUCCCACAGAUUUCUUUUAUUUAGGGAGAGUAAUUCCAUUUGAAUGGCCUUCUUCCACUCUUCCCAAUCAUGUUUUUUCUAACAUUCCAAAAUGGACCUUGGAUCGGGAUCAUCAUUAUCAUGAUCGAUCUCUUUGGACACAGAAAAGGAGAAAAUUCCAUCAACAUCUUUAAUCUUAUUUUUGAUCCAUAACUUGUCAUUUCGGGCGUAGUUGAUGGAAAUCUCAUACUUUUCUGUUCCCUUCUCGUUAUCUGGAUCAUCUUUAUCUAUGCCUUCUUUCAUAUAUUUUUCGGUAUCAGGUUCUUCUGAAACCUUUCCAUUUAUGUCUUCAUUCAGACAUCUUUCAAUAUCAGGUUCUUUUGGAACCUUACUAUUUUGCUUAUCAAAUUUCUUUUUCUUUCGAAGAUUAUUAUCUUUAGAACCCGCUGGUCACCCCCUCUUUAACUAAACCCUAGGUUCGUUCAUUUUGUUUCCAUCAGUUUGUUUUCUAUGAACAUCAAGUCUUGAUGGAACAUUUUCAGCGGGUAUACAUGACUUCGUCACCUUUCUCGUAUAUUUGAACGCAUCUGGUAACGGGUUUGCCAAAUUAUGCAAAUGAACAAUUUUCUGAACUUCCAGCUAUCUUUGAUUCGUAGGUGGAUCAAGGUGUAACAACGAUGAUGUACACCAAGUAAUCUCUUUAGGAAUUUCUCCAAUUCCUCCCCCUAAUGGUGGAAAUUUAUUCUCAUUAAAAUAGCAAUCGGCAAACCUUGUCGUAAACAUAUCACCAGUUACCGGUUCCAGAUAUCUUAUUAUACUUGGUCACAUAAAACCCACAUAUAUUCCCAAUCUCCUUUGUGGGCCCAUUUUUGUUCUUUGUGGCGGUGCAAUCGGAACAUAGACCGCACACCCAAAGACACAAAGAUGGGAUACGUAUGGCUCUUGCCCAGAUGCCAAUUGUAAUGGGCAGUACUUAUGAUAUGUACUCGGUCUUAACCGAACCAGUGCAGCCGCAUGCAAUAUCCAUACUGAAAUUGGGAACUUUGUUCUCAAGACUAACGGUCUUGCAAUCAACUGCAACCGUUUUAUCAAUGACUCGGCCAUGCCAUUUUGUGUAUGCACAUGGGGAACUGGAUGUUCCACAUCAAUCCCCAUUGACAUGCAAUAAUCAUCAAAGGCUUGAGAUGUAAAUUCACCAGCAUUAUCAAGCAUUACUUUCUUAAUGGCAUACUGUGAGAACUGCGUUCUCAGCUUUAUUAUCUGGGCAAUGAACUUUGCGAAAACUAUAUUUCGUGUUGUCAAAAGACACACACUUAACCAUGAAAUACUUAAAUGGCCCGCACGGUGGGUGGAUCGGCCCACAUAUAUCACCAUGUAUUCUUUCUAAAAAUAUUGGUGAUUCAUUGCCUACUUUUGCUGGUGAUGGCCGAGUUAUAAGUUUCCUUGAGAACAUGCAUUACAUGUAAACUAACCCGUUUGCAAGUUUUUUUCGUUUUCCAACGGAUGGUCAUUCGAAUUUUACACUAUCUUUCACAUCAUGACUGAACCAGAAUGUCCUAGCCUCUCAUGCCAACUUUUAAAUGUAUCAGUAAACUUCAUGUUUACCAAGACAUAGGACUCAAUCAUGGUUAUUUUCGUACAAUAUAGUCUAGAGGAUAACAUUCUUAAUUCUUCCAAUAUAUGUUUCCUCUAAGACUUAAUGCAAAGAAAUUCAAUGCCAUCUUUACUCAUAGUCUCAAUAUGGUAUCCAUUUCUUCGGAUAUCAUUAAAACUUAACAAGUUUCUAUGAGACUCGGGGAAAUACAAUGCAUCACUUAUUUCAAAUAUCGUUCCCCCUGGCAUUGAAAAUUUUGUUCUUCCGGAGCCUAUAAUAAUAUUUGCAUUAUCAGAUAUUGUACUUACGCUUUCAGCGUAAUCUCUUAUUUUGAGACUGGAGGAAUAUUUCUUAUUUUUUAUUAUCGUGUGCGUUGACGCACUAUCUGCCAAACACAUAUCUCCAACCAUAAUCUCAAAGUUUGGUAUUUUCUGAAUUAAAACAUAUAUUAUUAAACAUGAAACAUAACAAACAUAACAUAUAUCUUACAAAAAAAUAUAUAGAUAUUAUAAUACAAUAAACUUUAUAUCAUAUUGAUUUAUAUCACUCAUCGAUAGUCUCUGGUCCAACCAGAAAGUCUGAUACGUCGAGAUGAGUAUCAUCUUUUAAACCAUGAAAGGAUGGCCCGGGUUCAUCAAAGAUGAAGUUUGUUUCACCUCUUCCUUUCUCUUUUCCCUUUUGAGAUUCUCUGUACAGAUCGGCUAAGUGUUUUGGUGUACGACAACUACGUACCCAAUGACCUUUCAUGCCGCAUCUGUAGCAAACCUUUCCUGUUUGCCUUUUAUCAUCUCGGUCCUUUUCAUUCCUUUUAUUUUCGUGGAAGUUCUUAUUAUCUCUUUCAUCAUAGGGACAAAAUCUUCUUCCACGACCAUGAUAACGGUUUCCACCACGUCCACGACCUCGUCCUCUCCUAUUAUCAUAACUGGAUGAUGCAACAUUCGCUUCUGGGAAUGGAGCAGAUCCAGUGGGACGAGCUUGAUGGUUUAAAUUCACGAGUUGAUUAUUCUGCUCCGCUAUAAGGAGGACUUGCAUCAACUCCGAGUAACGGGUAUAUCCAUUCGUCCGGUACUGUUGCUGCAGGACUACAUUUUGCAGGAUGGAACGUGGAGAGAGUUUUCUCGAUCAUAUCAUAAUCACUUAUUUUCUCUCCACAUAACAUCAUCCUCGAUGUAAUUCCGAACAUCGCGGAAUUAAACUCACUUACACUUUUGUAGUCCUGGAACCGAAGAUGGAUCCACUCGUGUUUAGCUUUCGGUAAGAUCACUGAUGAUCGAACCUCUCAUUUAAAGAUUUCUAGAGGUCACAAGGAUCCUCUUUCGUAAUAUACUCAUCCUUUAAACCAUCAUGGAUGUGGUGUCGUAAGAAUAUCAUGGCUUUUGCCUUUUUCUCAUCCGACACCGUUUUUGAACUAUCGAUGGUUUCCAAAAGCCUGUUUCUUCUCAUGUGCAUCUUUGCAUCCACUGCCCAUGUCAUAUAAUUAUUUCCCGUAAUAUCCAGGGUAUUAAUUUCGAGCUUUGCCAAAUUCGACAUGAUAACUGUAUUCAAAGAAUAAUAAUAUAUAAAUAUAGUAAAGACAGAAAUUUAAAUGCAGAAAUUAAAGGCACAAAAUAAAAGCAUAAACUUAAAUUGCAGAAAUUUAAAUAGCAUAAAUAAAAUCGGGAGGCUUAGCCUACCACAUGAUCUGAGGAGUCAUAGACUGCCAUAUUGAUCAUUAUUUUUCAAAGUCCGAGGAGACAUGGUCUACCAUUUUGACUAUUACUAUUUCAAGGUCCGAGGAGACAUGGUCUACCAUUUUUGACCCUUUAUUUUUAUUCACGGAGGCAAAGCCUACCACGUGUUUUUCUGAUCGUGAAGGCAUAGCCUACCAUAACGAUCAAUCUUUUGGAUUGGUAAGCUUUGGUUGGUUAGAGCUUCUGGAUUGAUAGACUGCACUGGUAUGUGAGAGCUCGUGCUGAUAACGUGUUAUGAAUAAUAAGUGAGGAACUGAUUUUGUCUUUAUAUAUAUAUGUGUGUUUGGUGAUAGAGACAAGUGAGAGAUAUAAUAUGGGACCAUUUUGUCUUUUAUUGUAUUAUAUGUGGUGGUGUUGUACGAAAGGGAAAGAGUGAGUGAGAGAAUAAAAGUAAACUUUAUUGUUUUUCUUGUGUUGUACAUCAUUUACAAACGAAGAUGAAGCUUUAUUUAUAGUGAGCAUUCACCGACUUUUGAAAAGAGGACAAGACUAUUAAUCAGACAUCUUUCUAAUGAUGAUGCAAAUGGUCAGUCCAUGAAAGGACAUGUGUCCUAUUAUGUGUAAGUGUAUGGAUGAUCAUACGUAACAAUGAUCUUAUUAUUGAUUUCUACGUAGCCCUUACAAAUGUAUGAGAAGCUAUAUUUAUAGCAAUAGUAAAUCUGUUAGUUUUACCUGACAUAUAACAAAAAGACAAAAGAGGAAGAUAAACAGUAUCUUCUAAAUAGAUAAUCAUUAGCAUAACACUCCCCUUGAUUAUCUAUUGUGUGUUACGUAGUGCCUCGUUAAAAAUCUAGUCAUGGAAAACCCCAUUGGGAUAAAAACCAUGACGAGGGAAAAAGAGUACACUGCCGUAAUCUCCCCCUGAGAAUAGUAGAAAUAGAUUUCUUGUCACAGGUCACGCAAAUGCCGCAUUCUGAUACCUUAAACGUGUUAGUCGGAAUGUCCUAUGACCGUACAUACUUGAUGUCCACCUCUUUAUUUUUCUCUAACUCCCUUAUGUAUGAGAAUGUAUCCGGAGGGAUGUGCUUUGUUUUGUCGCUUUUGAUGUAGCCUUCUUUGAGUUGAGCGACACAAGCCGAAUUGUCAUCAAAUACUUUUGUCGGUUCCGCUUAAUUCUUGUAUGUGGUGACUCAUUGACCGAAGCCACACACAUUCUCGACAUGCUUCGUGAAGCGCAAUAGUUUCUCCUUGAUUCGAAGAUGUCACAACCAGAGUUUGUUUCUGGGACCACCAAUUGUAAAAACAUAGCCGGUUUGUGUUCGACUUUAUAAAUAUUAUGUAUCUGCAAAACCAUACCAAACUUGGAGUUUCUGGGACAAAUCAAUCCUAAAUCAACACGUACCCUGGAGAGAACAUAUAUGUUCUCGACGCCGUUCUAAUUUCCAUAAAUUGGAAAUGAGCUAUAUCUCGCAAAGACAUUAGUGUCUAAAAGUAUAUUUAAUCAAACACAACUCGCAAGAUAUAUAACCUUAUAUAUGAUUUAUUACCAUUAGCAUCUCCAAAGUAUUUAUUCAUAUAAGAUCUUACCAUGAUAUUUUAAAACAACAUCUCUUUUAACAUCGAGAGAUCUAUUUACCAUUUGAGUACUCAAAGGAGUUGCUUUGUCCAUAUAAAAGCGUUUCAAUAACCUUUUCAUAUAGUUUGAUUGAUGCACAAAUAUUCCUUCUCGGAGAUGCUCUAUAUGGAGCCCAAGACAAAACUUUGUCUUGCUGAGAUCUUUCAUUUCGAACUCCUCAUUCAUAUGAGUUCGAGCAUCAUCAACCUUCUUUUGAGUUCCAAUUAUAUUAAGGUCAUCUACAUGUACAUCAAUGAUCAUAAAGCCGAAUGAAGAUUUCUUUAUAAAGAGGAUGGACAUAUCGCAUUAUUCACAUGUCCUUUACUCAAAAGAUAUUCACUUAAGCGAUUGUACCACGUGCGUCCGGAUUGCUUUAAUCCGUAAAGUGAUCGCUGUAACUUGGCCGAACAAAUCUUCCUGGAUUUUUCUUUCAAUGCCCCUGGCAUUUUCAAUCUCUCAGGGAGUUUCAUAUAUAUAUUGUUAUCCAACGAUCCAUACAAAUAUGCAGUCACAAAGUCCAUGAGAUGCAUUUCAAGACUUUUAGACGCCGUUAGGCUCAUCAAAAAUCUAAAAGUAAUUGCAUCCAUUACCGGGGAAAACAUUUCCUCAAAAUAAAUUUCUGAUCUCUAAGAAAAACCUUGGGCAAAUAAUCAGGCUUUAUAUCGUGUUACUUUUCUCACGAAUACCCACUUACCAACAAGAUUUAUAUUCUCAGGCGUUAUGACUAUAAGUCCAAAAACAUUCCAAAAAGGACCUUGGAUCGGGAUCAUCAUAAAGAUCAAACUCUUUGGACAUAGAAAGGGAGAACAUUCCACAAACAUCUUUUAUCAUAUUUCUGAUCCAUAACUUUUCAUUUCAAUCAUAGUUGAUGGAAAUCUCAUACUUUUUUGUUCCCUUCUCGUCAUCCGGAUCCCUAUCUUUAUUUGGUUCUUCUUGAACCUUUUCAUUUAUGCCUUCUUUCAGACAUUUUUCAGUAUCAGGUUCUUCUGGAACCUUUCCUUUAUGUCUUCUUUCAGACAAUUUUCAAUAUCAGGUUCUUCUCGAACCUUACUAUUUUGCUCAUCCAAUUUCUUUUUCUUUCGGGGAUUUUUAUCUUUAGAACCCGCUGGCCUCUCCCUCUUUAACUGAACGCGAGGUUCAUUCAUUAUGUUUCCAUCAGUUUGUUCUUUAGAAACAUCAACUCUUGAUGGAACAUUUUCAGCGGGUAUACAUGACUUCGUCACCCUUCUUGUAUCUGUGAACGCAUCUGGUAACUGGUUUGCCAAAUUAUGCAAAUGCACAAUUUUCUAAACUUCCAGUUCUCUUUGAUUCGUAGCGGGAUCAAGGUGUAACAACGAUGGUGUACACCAUGUAAUCUCUUGAGGAAUUUUACCAAUUCCUCCCCCUAACGCUGGAAAUUCAUCCUUAUUAAAAUGGCAAUCGGAAAAUUGUGCCGUAAACAUAUCACCAGCUACUGGUUCCAGAUAUCUUAUCAUACUUGGUGACGUAUAACCCACAUAUAUUCCCAAUCUCCUUUGUGGGCCCAUUUUUGUUCUUUGUGGCGGAGCUAUCGGAACAUAGACCGCACACCCAAAGACACGGAGAUGGGAUACAUCUGGCUCUUGCCCAGAUGCCAAUUGUAAUGUGGAGUACUUAUGAUAUGCACUCGGUCUUAACCGAACCACUACAGCCGCAUGCAAUACAGCAUGUCCCCAUACAGAAAUUGGGAGCUUUGUUCUCAAGACUAACGGUCUUGCAAUCAACUACAACUGUUUUAUCAAUGACUCGGCCAUGCCAUUUUGUGUAUGCGCAUGGGGAACUGGAUGCACCACAUCAGUCUCCAUUGACAUACAAUAAUCAUCAAAGGCUUGCGAUGUAAACUCACCAGCAUUAUCAAGUCUUACUUUCUUAAUGGCAUACUCUGAGAACUGCGUUCUCAGCUUUAUUAUCUGGGCAAUGAACUUUGCGAAAGCCGUAUUUUGUGUCAUCAAAAGAGACACACUUGACCAUCUACUAGAUGCGUCAAUCAAUACCAUGAAAUAUUUAAACGGCCCGCACGGUGGGUGGAUCGGCCCGCACGGUGGGUGGAUCGGCCCACAUACAUCACCAUGUAUUCUUUCAAAAAACAUUGGUAAUUCAUUGCCUACUUUUGCUGGUGAUGGCCUAGUUAUAAGCUUUCCUUGAGAACAUGCAGUACAUGUAAACUCGCCCGUUUGCAAAAUAUUUAUGUUUUUCAACAGAUGGCCAUUCAAAUUUUGCACUAUCUUUCUCAUCAUGACUGAACCAGGAUGUCCUAGCCUUUCAUACCAUAUUUUAAAUGUAUCAGUGAACUUCAUGUUUACCACGGCAUAGGACUCAGUCCUGGUUAUUUUUCGUACAAUAUAGUCCAGAUGAUAACAUUCUUAACUCUUCCAAUAUAUGUUUCCUCUCGGACUUAAUGCAAAGAAAUUCAAUGCCAUCUUUACUCAUAGUCUCAAUAUGAUAUCCAUUUCUUCGGAUAUCCUUAAAACUUAACAAGUUUCUAUGAGACUUGGGGGAAUACAAUGCAUUACUUAUUUCAAAUAUCGUCCCCCCUGGUAUUGAAAUUUUGCUCUUCCAGAGCCCAUAAUAAUCUUUGCAUUACCAGAUAUUGUACUUACGUUUCCAGCGUAAUUUCUUAUUUUGAGACUGGAAAAAUAUUUUUUAUCUUUAAUUAUCAUGUGCAUUGACGCACUAUCUGCCAAACACAAAUCUCCAUUUAUAGUCUCAAAGUUUGGCAUUUUCUAAAUAUAAAAUAUUCAUAAAACAUAUAUUAUUAAACAUCAAACAAACAUAACAUAUAUCUUACAACAAAAGAUAUAGAUACUAUAAUACAGUCUACUUAUAUCACAUCGAUUUAUAUCACUCAUCGAUACUCUCUGGCUGAGUAUCAUCAAGAUGAGUAUCAUCGUUUAAACCAUGAAAGGAUGGCCCAGGUUCAUCAGAGAUGAAGUUAGUUUCACCUCUUCCUUUCUCUUUUCCCUUUUGGGAUUCUCUAUACAGAUCGGCUAAAUGUUUUGGUGUACGACAACUACGUACCCAAUGACCUUUCAUGCCGCAUCUGUAGCAAACCUUUCCCGUUUGCCUUUUAUCAUCCUGGCCCUUUUCAUUCCUUUCAUUUUUCAUGGAAGUUCUUGUUAUCUCUUUCAUCAUAGGGACGAAAUCUUCUUCCUCGUCCUCUUCCACGACCAUGAUAACAGUUUUCACCACGUUCACGACCUCGUCCUCUCCUAUUAUCAUAACUGGAUGAUGCAACAUUUGCUUCUGGGAAUGGAGCAGAUCCAGUGGGACGAGCUUGAUGGUUUAAAGUCACGAGUUGAUUAUUCUGCUCCGCUACAAGGAGGACUUGCAUCAACUCCUAGUAACAGGUUUAUCCAUUCACCCGGUACUGUUGCUGCAGGAUUACAUUUUCAGGAUGGAACGUAGAGAGAGCUUUCUCGAUCAUAUCAUAAUCACUUAUUUUCUCUCCCCAUAAAAGUAAUUCCGAACAUCGCAGAACUAAACUCACGAACACUUUUGUAAUCCUGGAACCGGAGAUGGAUCCACUCGUGUUUAGCUUUCGGUAAGAUCACAUAUUUCUGAUGAUCGAACCUCUCUUUUAAAGAUUUCCAUAGGUUACAAGGAUCCUCUUUCGUAAUAUAUUCAUCCUUUAAACCAUCAUGGAUGUGGUGUCGAAAGAAUAUCAUGGCUUUUGCCUUUUUCUCAUCCGACACCAUUUUUUGAACUAUCGAUGGUUUCCAAAAGUCUGUUUCCUCUCAGGUGCAUCUUUGCACCCACUGCCCAGGUGAUAUAAUUAUUUCGCGUAAUAUCCAGGGCAUUAAUUUCGAGCUUUGUCAAAUUCGACAUGAUAACUGUAUUCAUAGAAUAAUUAUAUACAAAUAGUAAUUACGAGAAUUUAAAUGCGUAAUUUAAAUGCAGAAAUUAAAGUCUUAAUAUAAAAGCAAAAAUUAAGUUGCAGAAAUUUAAAUUGCAGGAAUUUAAAUAGCAUAAAUAAAAUCGGGAGGUUCAGUCUACCACAAUGAUCCGAGGAGUCAUAUACUACCAUAUUGAUCAUUUUCAAAGUCCGAGGAGACAUGGUCUACCAUUUUGACUUUUACUUUUUUUCAAGGUCCGAAGAGACAUAGUUUACCAUUUUUGACCUUUUCUUUUUUUUAUUCACGGAGGCAAAGCCUACCACGUGUUUCUCUGAUCGUGAAGGCAUAGCCUACCAUAACGAUCAGUCGGGGAAGGCAGCGCCUAACAUCCCAAAAAUAAACGGAGAAGGCCUAGCCUCUCACUCCAGAACAUUAAUAAAAUUUAAAUAAAUUAAGUAUAUUGAAAUACAUAAAUUUGAACAUUACCUCGACUGGUUUAAGAACUUUCGGAUUGAUAAGCUUCGGUUGGUCAAAGCUUCGUGCUGAUAACGUGUUGUAUAAUAAGAGGUGAGACAUAUAUAUGUAUUAAUAAUUAUAAUAUUAUAUUCUAUUGUGUUUUGGAUGGAAUCACGUGAGAAAGAGAGAGAUGAGUUGAGAGUGAUGUUGACUCAAGAGAGAGAGAAUCACUUUUGUACUUAGAUCUAUAUUUCUUACAAAGGGAGAAUACAUGUAUUUAUAGUGAAACAAAAUCAGUGUAUAAACCGACUAUGAGCAACAAAACAAAAUUACAAAUGGACAUAUGUAGUGGUGAUGAUGCGAUGACCACUUGAGAAGGAGAGGAUAAGUGUCUUUUUGGAUAAUCAUCUUUUUAUAAUUAUUUCUUUAACAAUAACAAGAUUCCUUUUGUUAUUACCUUUUAUGGCUCUCACAUUGGUGGAAGCAACUAUUGCAUGUUAAUUGUUAUUAACAAUUUUACGCAAUGAA